UACGAAGGGGGCUAGCGUUGCUCGGAAUCACUGGGCGUAAAGCGCACGUAGGCGGCUUUCUAAGUCAGGGGUGAAAUCCUGGAGCUCAACUCCAGAACUGCCUUUGAUACUGGGGAGCUUGAGUCCGGAAGAGGUGAGUGGAACUCCGAGUGUAGAGGUGAAAUUCGUAGAUAUUCGGAAGAGGACCAGUGGCGAAGACGGGUCACUGGUCGAGUACUGACGCUGAUGUGCGAAAGCGUGGGGAGCAAACAGG
rnacentral:rRNA from 1 species